UUUAAUAUGUAAAUUAAAUAUAUAUAUAUAUAUAUAAGUGUUAGUUUAAUAAAAUUUAUUAUAUAUAUGUGUCAUUUUAUAUAUUUGUAUAAGAAAAUUCAUCUUACAAUUUAUAUAAAAACAAAAAAAACUUAAACUUUAGAGGACUUUUGAUAUGCUAAAGAGAAAAAAAUAGAGGAGUGUGAAGUAUUUAUAUGCAAAGAAAAAAAGUAAUUGUUAAAAAAAAAAAAAAAGACAAGCAUGCAUUGGUUACUUGUGUUCGAUCAGCCCUUAUUUUAUCGCAAAAGUUAUUCUGCAUGCAAGUCUCAUUAUUUUUUAAUAUUA
rnacentral:lncRNA from 1 species